UACGUAGGGGCCGAGCGUUGUCCGGAGUUAUUGGGCGUAAAGCGCGCGCAGGCGGCUUCGCGCGCCCGACGUGAAAGCCCCCGGCUUAACCGGGGAGAGUCGUUGGGGACGGCGGAGCUUGAGGGCGGGAGAGGUCGGUGGAAUUCCCGGUGUAGUGGUGAAAUGCGUAGAGAUCGGGAGGAACACCUGUGGCGAAGGCGGCCGACUGGGCCGACCCUGACGCUG
rnacentral:rRNA from 1 species